CACUUCACAGGUAUUCAAAGGGGGGGAGGGGAGGUAUAACAGUCCUUUUGAGCAUACAGGUUAUACAGAGUAUACAGAUCACUGCUGUUCCUACAACAUGAUAACUUCUCAAGC